AUACGUAGGGGGCAAGCGUUGUCCGGAUUUACUGGGUGUAAAGGGUGCGCAGGUGGGUCGGUAAGUCAGAGGUGAAAUCCUGCAGCUUAACUGCAGAACUGCCUUUGAUACUGCUGAUCUUGAGUUCAGAAGAGAUAAGCGGAAUUCCAGGUGUAGUAGUGAAAUACGUAGAUAUCUGGAAGAACACCGGUGGCGAAGGCGGCUUAUUGGUCUGAUACUGACACUCAGGCACGAAAGCGUGGGUAGCGAACAGGAUUAGAUACCCUGGUAGUCCACGCUGUAAACGAUGGAUACUAGGUGUGGGAGGUAUCGACCCAUUCCGUGCCGGAGUUAACGCAAUAAGUAUCCCGCCUGGCGAGUACGGCCGCAAGGCUGAA
rnacentral:rRNA from 1 species